GAUGAACGCUGGCGGCGUGCCUAAUACAUGCAAGUCGAGCGAACAGAUGAGGAGCUUGCUCCUCUGACGUUAGCGGCGGACGGGUGAGUAACACGUGGAUAACCUACCUAUAAGACUGGGAUAACUUCGGGAAACCGGAGCUAAUACCGGAUAAUAUAUUGAACCGCAUGGUUCAAUAGUGAAAGACGGUUUUGCUGUCACUUAUAGAUGGAUCCGCGCCGCAUUAGCUAGUUGGUAAGGUAACGGCUUACCAAGGCAACGAUGCGUAGCCGACCUGAGAGGGUGAUCGGCCACACUGGAACUGAGACACGGUCCAGACUCCUACGGGAGGCACCAGUAGGGAAUCUUCCGCAAUGGGCGAAAGCCUGACGGAGCAACGCCGCGUGAGUGAUGAAGGUCUUCGGAUCGUAAAACUCUGUUAUUAGGGAAGAACAAAUGUGUAAGUAACUAUGCACGUCUUGACGGUACCUAAUCAGAAAGCCACGGCUAACUACGUG
rnacentral:rRNA from 1 species